AGUGUUCAAUAGAACUGUGGUAGGUGAGUAAUGUCCCCUACUAGAAAGGAGAGGGCAAGGCUGGUGCCAGCCGCCGCGGUAAAACCAGCUCUUCAAGUGGUCGGGAUAAUUAUUGGGCUUAAAGUGUCCGUAGCCGGUUUAGUAAGUUCCUGGUAAAAUCGGGUAGCUUAACUAUCUGCAUGCUAGGAAUACUGCUAUACUAGAGGGCGGGAGAGGUCUGAGGUACUACAGGGGUAGGGGUGAAAUCUUAUAAUCCUUGUAGGACCACCAGUGGCGAAGGCGUCAGACUGGAACGCGCCUGACGGUGAGGGACGAAAGCCAGGGGAGCGAACCGGAUUAGAUACCCGGGUAGUCCUGGCCGUAAACGAUGCAUACUAGGUGAUGGUACGGCCAUGAGCCGUAUCAGU
rnacentral:rRNA from 1 species